AGCCCUGCAGGAACUUACAGAACCAUCAAAUAAUUUUAAUAAACUGCUUAUGCAAGCCUAUUUCUAUGGGAGGUCAGACUCCAGUCUCUCUUUAAGAGGCUGCCAAGACACCCUGGACUCAGAUGAUAAGGCAUCUGCGUGUUCUCUGAGGCCAAGACUGCGAAAAUGUGUCUCAGCAGGCAAGGGGGGAAAACUGAUACCUUUAUAAAAGACAUAUUAAAAAGUGAGAGGUCUCUAGGGAUUUUCUUGAAACUACCAUUAAAGCUACAUCAUCUCUCUUUCCCCAGAAAGCCCACUUGGAUUAAGCUCAUCAACCAAUGGGAAUGUCAGUGAUUGGAUGGUUGUAUGUCGGCGUGAAACAAUGGUUAUCUGUUAAACUGAAUUUUAUAUCCGUGUGGUGUUCAGUUUUUUCCCUCAGGAUCUGGGAUAGUGAAAGUUCCCUUGAUCUGUGGGCUUUGUCUUUGUGGUGCUAACUGCUGAAGUACUUGCCUCCAGAAUAGGCACCUCUGCUGACGGCUAGAGCCACAAACAUUCCUGAUCCCACUGGUGGCGUUUUCCUAUUAAGUUGGGUGCACAUUUCCAUACAGACACGAUCAAACAUUGCAUGUUAUGAUUAGAAAUAAAGCUGAGGACUGAGAAACUGAAUAUACAAUGACCAGACCAUAUAUAAAAACAGAAUGUUGACCCGUCACCUGCAGCAACCUGCCCAAGAAACCAACCCCUAUUUACAGUAAGCAACCCAGGAAUCCAGCCUGCUAUAUAAACCACACUUGCAGGAAGCCAGAUUGCUAUCUUGGAAGGUAAAUAAUUUCUGUAACGAUCGGCCCCAGAUGGCCAGGACUUAAUAACUGAAGCUUCCCUAAUUUUGCCCUUGCUUUCAACUUAGGACCAACUAAAGAAAGUCAAACAUGUACCUCUUACCUAUCACACAGGGUGCCCUGCACGUAGUUAGCUUACCUCCAGCUUCUUCACGCCAACAGUCCAAUCAGCACACCUGAGCCUUCUCUUCCGUGGGUCUUAAAGCUUUUGCAUUCCUCUGCCUGCCUUUGAGUCUCUGCGCAAACGCUAGUGAUGGUGGCCGACUCCUUUGCUAUAGCAAGCUCAGAAUCGAUAGCCUUUGCUUUUCUCCUUUGGUCUUUGUUCAGUACUAUAGUUUAAAUAGACUUUGUGAGCCAGUUGGUUUCUAAAUCAUUCUAACUGCCAUUCACUCACUUACUGAAGAAAUAUUUACUAAAAGCUUCAAUAUAGGCCAUAUUUCUUGCUAGACACAGGAGCAAAUGAAAUAAGAUAGGGGCCCUCCCCUAGAGGACAGUAACUUGGCAACUAAAGGGAUGAACGGGAUGACUUGGCAACCAAGUCAAAGGGCAUUAAAAUACAGAGGCGGACUCAAACGAAGAUGGCCGAAUAGGAACAGCUCCGGUCUACAGCUCCCAGCGUGAGCAAAGCAGAAGACGGGUGAUUUCUGCAUUUCCAUCUGAGGUACCAGGUUCAUGUCACUAGGGAGUGCCAGGCAGUGGGCGCAGGUCAAUGGGUGCGCGCACGGUGCGCGAGCCGAAGCAGGGCGAGGCAUUGCCUCACUUGGGAAGCGCAAGGGGUCAGGGAGUUCCCUUUCUGAGUCAAAGAAAGGGGUGACGGACGCACCUGGAAAAUCGGGUCACUCCCACCCGAAUAUUAACCUUUUCGGACCGGCUUAAAAAACGGCGCACCACGAGAUUAUAUCACACACCUGGCUCGGAGGGUCCUACGCCCACGGAGUCUCGCUGAUUGCUAGCACAGCA
rnacentral:lncRNA from 10 species